rnacentral:rRNA from 1 species
GACGAACGCUGGCGGCGGUGGAUUAGGCAUGCAAGUCGAACGGUAUCAUCCUUUCGGGGGUGAGAGAGUAGCGAACUGGUGAGUAACACGUAGGUUAUCUACCCUCAAGACGGGGGACAACCCGGGAAACUUGGGCUAAUACCGGAUGUGAGCAACUUUUAGUUGUUUGAAAGGUGGCGUAAGCUGUCGCUUGGGGAUGAGCCUGCGUCCUAUUAGUUAGUUGGUGAGGUAACGGCUCACCUAGGCAAUGAUAGGUAGGCGGCCUUAACGGGUGGUCGCCCACACUGGGAUUGAGAUACGGCCCAGACUCCUACGGGAGGCAGCAGUCGAGAAUAGUCUACAAUGGUCGGAAGACUGAUAGUGCGACGCCGCGUGAACGAUGAAUCCCUUCGGGGUGUAAAGUUCUUUUAUAUGUGAGCAGUGCUUCUUAUAUUAACAGUAUGGGGAGAGAGAUAUUAGCAUAUGAAUAAGCAACGGCUAACUCCGUG